rnacentral:rRNA from 1 species
GAUGAACGCUGACAGAAUGCUUAACACAUGCAAGUCUACUUGAACUUCGGUUUGGGUGGCGGACGGGUGAGUAACGCGUAAAGAACUUGCCUCACAGUUAGGGACAACAUUUGGAAACGAAUGCUAAUACCUGAUAUUAUGAUUUUAGGGCAUCCUAAGAUUAUGAAAGCUAUAUGUGCUGUGAGAGAGCUUUGCGUCCCAUUAGCUAGUUGGAGAGGUAACGGCUCACCAAGGCGAUGAUGGGUAGCCGGCCUGAGAGGGUGAACGGCCACAAGGGGACUGAGACACGGCCCUUACUCCUACGGAGGCAGCAGUGGGAAGUAUUGGACAAUGGACCAAAAGUACUGAUCCAGCAAUUCUGUGUGCACGAUGACGUUUUCGU